CAGUCGCCACGGUAAUACGAAGGGUGCAAGCGUUACUCGGAAUUACUGGGCGUAAAGCGUGCGUAGGUGGUGGUUUAAGUCCGUUGUGAAAGCCCUGGGCUCAACCUGGGAAUUGCAGUGGAUACUGGGUCACUAGAGUGUGGUAGAGGAUAGUGGAAUUCCCGGUGUAGCAGUGAAAUGCGUAGAGAUCGGAAGGAACAUCUGUGGCGAAGGCGACUAUCUGGGCCAACACUGACACUGAGGCACGAAAGCGUGGGGAGCAAACAGGAUUAGAUACCCCCGUAGUCCCUGUCUCUUAUAC
rnacentral:rRNA from 1 species